GAUGGAAGAACGCAGCGAAAUGCGAUAAGUAGUGUGAAUUGCAGAAUUCAGUGAAUCAUCGAAUCUUUGAACGCACAUUGCGCCCCUUGGUAUUCCAUGGGGCAUGCCUGUUCGAGCGUCAUUUGUACCUUCAAGCUCUGCUUGGUGUUGGGUGUUUGUCUCGCCUCUGCGUGUAGACUCGCCUCAAAACAAUUGGCAGCCGGCGUAUUGAUUUCGGAGCGCAGUACAUCUCGCGCUUUGCACUCAUAACGACGACGUCCAAAAGUACAUUUUUACACUCUUGACCUCGGAUCAGGUAGGGAUACCCGCUGAACUUAAGCAUAUCAAAAGCGGAGGA
rnacentral:misc_RNA from 1 species